rfam:Auxenochlorella protothecoides strain 0710 contig1000, whole genome shotgun sequence.
GCAUCCAUGGCAGAGUGGUCGAUCGCACCGCACUCAUAAUGCGGUUCUUUUUAAGGCGCCGUUGGUUCAAACCCAACUGGAUGCA